rnacentral:rRNA from 1 species
CAGUCGCCUCGGUAAUACAGAGGGUGCGAGCGUUAAUCGGAUUUACUGGGCGUAAAGCGUGCGUAGGCGGCUUCUUAAGUCGGAUGUGAAAUCCCUGAGCUUAACUUAGGAAUUGCAUUCGAUACUGGGAAGCUAGAGUAUGGGAGAGGAUGGUAGAAUUCCAGGUGUAGCGGUGAAAUGCGUAGAGAUCUGGAGGAAUACCGAUGGCGAAGGCAGCCAUCUGGCCUAAUACUGACGCUGAGGUACGAAAGCAUGGGGAGCAAACAGGAUUAGAUACCCGUGUAGUCCCUGUCUCUUAUAC